rnacentral:rRNA from 1 species
UGCCUUAGUAACGGCGAGUGAAGCGGCAAAAGCUCAAAUUUGAAAUCGGCCACCAGGUCGAGUUGUAAUUUGUAGAUUGUAUCUUGAGAGCGGAUUAAAGUCUGUUGGAACACAGCGCCUUAGAGGGUGACAGCCCCGUAAAAUCUAUUCUCAUUGUAAGAUACUUUCGAAGAGUCGAGUUGUUUGGGAAUGCAGCUCUAAGUGGGAGGUAAAUUCCUUCUAAAGCUAAAUAUUGACGAGAGACCGAUAGCGAACAAGUACUGUGAAGGAAAGAUGAAAAGCACUUUGAAAAGAGAGUGAAAAAGUACGUGAAAUUGUUAAAAGGGAAGGGUAUUGAAUCAGACUUGGUGCUGUUGUUCAACUGUGUUUCGGCAUAGUGUACUCAGCAGUACUAGGCCAAGGUGGGGUGUUUGGGAGUGAAAAAGAAGUUGGAACGUAACUCUUCGGAGUGUUAUAGCCUACUUUCAUAGCUCCUCAGGCGCCUCAGGACUGCGCUUCGGCAAGGACCUUGGCAUAAUGAUUCUAUACCGC